AUUGAACGCUGGCGGCAGGCUUAACACAUGCAAGUCGAGCGGGGGAGGUUGCUUCGGUAACUGACCUAGCGGCGGACGGGUGAGUAAUGCUUAGGAAUCUGCCUAUUAGUGGGGGACAACAUUCCGAAAGGGAUGCUAAUACCGCAUACGCCCUACGGGGGAAAGCAGGGGAUCUUCGGACCUUGCGCUAAUAGAGGAGCCUAAGUCGGAUUAGCUAGUUGGUGGGGUAAAGGCCUACCAAGGCGACGAUCUGUAGCGGGUCGGAGAGGAUGAUCCGCCACACUGGGACUGAGACACGGCCCAGACUCCUACGGGAGGCAGCAGUGGGGAAUAUUGGACAAUGGGCGGAAGCCUGAUCCAGCCAUGCCGCGUGUGUGAAGAAGGCCUUUUGGUUGUAAAGCACUUUAAGCAAGGAGGAGGCUACUAGUACUAAUACUACUGGAUAGUGGACGUUACUCGCAGAAUAAGCACCGGCUAACUCUGUGCCAGCCGCCGCCGUAAUAC
rnacentral:rRNA from 1 species